AUGCACAGGGAUCCGCAUGUAACUACGGGCGCAGGACAGUCGAGGCGGUCAGCUUGGCUACCGCCAGUAGUGCACGACACCAAGAUUAAUGCUGACAGCGGCUUUUCCAAGAUUGGCGACAAGGGCGCUUCGGCAGCAGUAUGCCGCGACAAAAACGGGAACUACCUGGGGGCUUCAACGAUCAUUUUCGAAGGCCUCGUGGAUCCGGUGAUACUCGAAGCACAAGCAUGCAGCGAAGCGCUAGCACUCGCUACAGACUUACAGGUCCAGUCCAUUUGUGUGGCCACAGAUUGUUCUGAAGUGGUAACAAGGAUCAAGGAUGAUAGCCCAUGCAAGUUCUUCCCAAUCCUGCAAGAUAUCAAGCACCAGACAAGAGUGUUUAGGGCAGUCGAAUUUAUCCAUGAGAGUAGAAAACAUAAUGGAGAGGCUCAUGCUUUAGCUAAGGCUGCAGCAUCCCUCCCCUCAGGACGCCAUGUGUGGCUUACAUCUAUGCCCGAUAUUAUCUGUAUUCCAAUGACUGUCCAUGUUUAA
rnacentral:rRNA from 1 species